rnacentral:rRNA from 1 species
UCCGUAGGCGGGCGACUAAGUCAGAGGUGAAAUCCCACAGCUUAACUGUGGAACUGCCUUUGAUACUGGUUGUCUUGAGUUAUAGUGAAGUAGAUAGAAUAUGUAGUGUAGCGGUGAAAUGCAUAGAUAUUACAUAGAAUACCGAUUGCGAAGGCAGUCUACUAACUGUAUACUGACGCUAAUGGACGAAAGCGUGGGGAGCGAACAGGAUUAGAUACCCUGGUAGUCC